CUAAAUAGAUGCGGCUAAUUCAAAGGAAGUAUUGUGUGGGCUCGGCAGAAUAUUCAAAGGAAGGAUUAUGGAAGGAUUGUGGUGAGGGUGGGCUCGGCACAAUAUUUAAAUGGACGGGAUCCUUAAUUAAUAUAAGGCAAGGGAAAACGGAAGGAAGAAAUUAUGUGAGGCUAAUAAGUAAAAGGAUUGGUAUAAUAAGGAAGGAUUUAAACGGGUGGAAUCAGGAUUGUGUGAGGCUAAAAAGGGAAGGUUGAUUUAUGGAGGAACGAAAAUGAGCACGGCAAAAAUAUAUAAGAUGUUGUAUUUUGUAUGCAUAUUAAUGAUUUUAUUUCUUUAUAAGAUUUUUACUCUUGCCGGUUUGAAAUAUCAAUUAAUAUACUAGGAGCAUUAAGUCCACAAAAUUAUAGGUUGGUGGGCAAGAGAGACUCGUGAAGCUUUGUGAUACAGUAUGAUGAUCAAAUCCAUAGUUGUGGGAUUAAUUAUGUUCCACAUGAAUAGAUGGGCAAGAGAGACUACCAUCGACAAUUAUGACGAAAAGAAGAAUUAGCGACAACAAUGGGUCUUUAGAAAUAUACAAUUUUUUCUACAGUUGCAACGAUAACCACCGGUUUCAUCGGCACAAACAACAGUUGGUCCUAUCAAUAUCAACAAGCCCAACCACAUGGUACGUGUGGUAAGCUACAUGAAAACAGAAAAAACAAAAAAUAUCAACAAGCCCAAUAAUAAAAGCAAAUCUCAUGCUACUGAGCCCCAAGUAUAUUCAUUAUCCUCUUCCAUAAAUAAUAUUAAUAUGUCAAUCAAUCGUGUGAUCUCAUUAUUUAUGUUUUCUAUUAAUAU
rnacentral:lncRNA from 1 species